GAUGAACGCUGGCGGCGUGCCUAAUACAUGCAAGUCGAGCGAACAGACGAGGAGCUUACUCCUCUGACGUUAGCGGCGGACGGGUGAGUAACACGUGGAUAACCUACCUAUAAGACUGGGAUAACUUCGGGAAACCGGAGCUAAUACCGGAUAACAUGUUGAACCGCAUGGUUCAACAGUGAAAGACGGUCUUGCUGUCACUUAUAGAUGGAUCCGCGUCGCAUUAGCUAGUUGGUAAGGUAACGGCUUACCAAGGCAACGAUGCGUAGCCGACCUGAGAGGGGGGACAGGCCCACCAGGAACGGGACACGGGCCCAGAUCCCAAGGGGGGGAGGAGGGGGGAAAUUUUGCCAAAGGGGGGAAGCCUGAACGGAGCAACGCCGGGGGGGGAAAAAGGUUCUUGGGAUGGAAAAACCUUUUUAUUGGGGAAAAAAAAAUGUGUAAGAAACCAUGCCGGUUUGAAGGGAACCAAAGAAAAAAGCCCCGGUAAAUUCGGG
rnacentral:rRNA from 1 species